CGGCGCCGGCCCGGGUUCCUGCUCGGAGACGCUGCGUUGAGAUUAACGAGGACAGACGGCGGCACGCUCUGAGCAUGCUCAGCUCAUCUCAUUCCUCUGGUUUUUCUGGUUUGGAUCAGCAGCAGGAAGGUUCUGAUCGGACCACCAUCAGAACCUUCCCAUCAUAAGUUCUGGAUUAACAUCGGAGGCGCUGCAGUUCCCACGGUAACCAGCAGAGGCGCUGCAGUUCCCACGGUAACCAGCAGAGGCGCUGCAGUUCCCACGGGUUCCUGGUGGUGGUUCGGGGGCCGCUGACUCACCGUAGCCGACUGGCCUUUGGACCCGAUGGACUUGGCCAUCUUG